rnacentral:rRNA from 1 species
UACGGGGGGGGCAAGCGUUGUUCGGAAUUACUGGGCGUAAAGGGCUCGUAGGCGGCCAACUAAGUCAGACGUGAAAUCCCUCGGCUUAACCGGGGAACUGCAUCUGAUACUGGAUGGCUUGAGUUCGGGAGAGGGAUGCGGAAUUCCAGGUGUAGCGGUGAAAUGCGUAGAUAUCGUUUGGAACGCCAAUGGUGAAAACAGGUUGCUGGGAGUGUGCUGACGCUGAGACACGAAAGCCAGGGGAGCAAACGGG